rnacentral:lncRNA from 10 species
CCGGCUUCUCCAUGGGCGGCGCCUCCUUCUUGGCCUUGCGCAGGCGCUUCAGCAGGUAGUGCCGCUUCCGCCGCAGGCCCCGGUUCAGCCGCCGCCGCUGGCGCGCACUGUACAGCUGCAUCAGCUGUUCGUAGGACAUGUCCAGCAGCUGGUCCAGGUCCACGCCGCGGAGACCCCAGAGAGCUCCCUUGCCUCUUCCACCUUCUGAGGACACAGGAACCAGGAAGCAGGCUCUCAACAGACACCAAAUCUGCCAGCUCCUUGACCUUGGACUUACCAGCCUCCAGAACUCUGAGAAAUAAUUUUUGAUUUUUUAUAAGCCACCCAGUUUGUAUUAGUCUUUCCUACACUGCUAUUAAGAACUACCUAAGACUGGGUAAUUUAUAAAGAAAGAAAGGUUUAAUUGACUCACAGUUCCACAGGCUGUACAGGAGGCAUGACUAGGGAGGCCUCAGGAAACUUACAGUCGUGGCAGAAGGCAAAAGGGAAGCAAGCGUGUUUUCAGGUGGUGGCAGGAGAGAGAGAAAGAGUAAAGGGGGAAGUGCUGCACACUUUUAAAUAACCAGAUCUUGUGAGAACUCUGCCACAAGAUAGCACUAGGGAGAUGGUGCUAAAUCAUAAGAAACCAUCGAUCCAAUCAUCUCCCACCAGGCCCCACCUCCAACGUUCAGAUCACAAUUCAACAGGAGAUUUGGGUGGAGACACAGAGCCAAAUCAUAUCACAGUUUAUGGUAUUGUUACUGCAGCCUGAACAGGCUAAGAUGGUGCCGGCCUGUCUCCCACCUGUUUCUGAACAUCCUAUUCAUCCUGUUUGGCUCAACUCAAAAGUUACUUCCUUCAUGAAGAAGUUCCCAGUCCCCCAAAAUCAAAUAAGCACCAAGUCUGCCCUCGAGUGCCACCUAUCUCACACCACUGCCUCAUAUUGGAUGUCUUGGUGACCUUGGUCAGUCCUCUUAUUAACUUCCAAGU